GGGGGUUUUCGGGUGACACACCCCAGAAUCAGGCUCCCUCCUCUCUGGUUCCAGGUGCAUGACCCAAGAACCGCA
rfam:Myotis lucifugus cont2.65138, whole genome shotgun sequence.